UACGAAGGGUGCAAGCGUUAAUCGGAAUUACUGGGCGUAAAGCGUGCGUAGGCGGUUUCUUAAGUCUGCUGUGAAAUCCCCGGGCUCAACCUGGGAAUGGCAGUGGAUACUGGGAAGCUAGGGUGUGAGAGAGGAUGGUGGAAUUCCCGGUGUAGCGGUGAAAUGCGUAGAGAUCGGGAGGAACAUCAGUGGCGAAGGCGGCCAUCUGGCUCAACACUGACGCUGAGGCACGAAAGCGUGGGGAGCGAACAGG
rnacentral:rRNA from 1 species